CUGUAGGGGAUUUUAGAACUACCUCAUGCAAGGUCUGUGUUUCGUGUAGACUUACCCAGGCGUGACGUUUUGAUAGCCGUGCAAAUCUCUAUGGGACAAGAUUUGAAUUGACGCAAAUCCCUUAUAUGGUGACCCCGACGUGAUCUGGUGAAGGAUUUCGCUGGACAUUGGCGUGCCAGCCAAUUGACCAUUGCUGUCGUCAGAUGGGUGUGUCUCACAACUCCAGACUGGUCAACUAAAAAGAUAUCCUGUGGACAUCCUGUGCCAGUGUGAUGCGGUUGUGGAGACUACAGCACAUCGAGCCUGUGGACGAACARGCAUGACAUGCGGAACAUCAGGCUCACCCCCGAGAAGCAGUGCAUGAUCAACGCCACCCUCUGCAAUGAGAUCUGCUGGAAGUGAUGUCUCUCACAUCCUUAGAUGUACUCGCGCUCUCUCUCGUUCUCAUUCUUGUUCUCAUUAAGCAGUCCAGAUUAUUUUCUUAGGGUGUGUCCUAUCUAACUCUACUACUUAUUUGGAGUUCAAUGGUAACAUUGAAGUUCCAGGCACGAGGGAUGAUGCCAGAUGCCGGGAUAGCAGGUAGCCCUUUGCUUUGAUGUUGACAGUUAAUUUUAAAUAUAGUCAGUUAAAUUUAAAUAUUGUCAGUAAAUCAUUCCACUUAAAAUUGCUGACUAGUUAGCUAGCAAACAAACAUACUGUGCAGAUAUAUCUACAAAUUCACCUGGCUAAUUGAUAGUUUGAGGAGGAGGGACAUGAGGGUCCUCAGAUCAUAGUUGUUGUGCUGUUACAUUUGUAAAUGACCUGGUAUAAAAGCAAAAUUAGCUAAAUGGAAACAUCUGCUUACUACUUUCAUUGCAUUAUUGUAAAUGUUCAGGCGGUUGCCAUUUUCCGUCGGGAAAGAAAAAUGGCCCUGCAUUUACCAGAAAAGGAAGUUCCACACAACGAAGUGGGUAAGAAAUCAUUUAAACAUCACAGUUAUACAUUUAAACUGUGCCCAUGAUAAAAUGUAAUGUGUUGUACUAUUGAAUGAAACUGUGAGGAGAUGCCCUCAGACCAGCCUUUGACUCAAUUUAUGUUAAUUACUGUGAGCGGACCAAGUAAUUGGGCGUCACUCUAAAGCGGGAAGGUGG